AUUGAACGCUGGCGGCAGGCUUAACACAUGCAAGUCGAGCGAGCGGCGGACGGGCGAGUAAGGUCUGGGCAACUGGCUGAUGGAGGGGGCUAACUACUGGAAACGGUAGCUAAUACUGCAUAACACCAGAUGUGCCGUGAUGGGAUUAGCUAGUAGGUGGGGUAAGGGCUCACCUAGGCGACGAUCCCUAGCUGGUCUGAGAGGCUGACCAGCCACACUGGGACUGAGACACGGUCCAGAGUCCUACGGGAGGCAGCAGUGGGGAAUAUUUCACAAUGGACGCAAGCCUGAUGCAGCCAUGCCGCGUGUGUGAAGAAGGCCUUCGGGUUGUAAAGCACUUUCAGCGAAGAGGCGUUACUCGCAGAGGAAGCACCGGCUAACUCCGUGCCAGCAGCCGCGGUAAUUC
rnacentral:rRNA from 1 species